AUAGUAUGGGAUAUACAUGGACAGAAAGUCUGAAACGCCAAGGGAUUGAUUAUAAUAAACUUCCAAGAUGGACUCCUUACUUACGUCGACUGAUUAUAAGUGAUAGGAAAGGUAACAGCACCUUGCAGGAUGGGACAGUAUGUAUCGGGGUUCGCUACCAAUCAGAGACAUAUGAACCUAUACCUUUACCCUGCAGUGCAACACAUACCUCUUUAUGCCAGACUGACCUAAUGACAGAUACAACUACACCGCACACCACAAGCUCUUAGCGCAGAACAACUAUAAUGGUGCACACGACCUUCGUUCACCAAAUAACAACUACUACCCCAUUUAAUCGCAAGAACGACCAGGACGGU